AUGAGAACCUCAUCAUCUUCCAUAAAGAUGGCCGAUGUUGGAUCACUUUUUGACAUCUUCUCCUGGCCUUGUUUGAAACCGGGGAGCAUAUCUGUGGUUUAUGUUAGGGAACAAAUCUUUUUGUACAGCCUGGCAAUGGACCACUAUUUCAGAAUUCUAAUACCAUAA
rnacentral:rRNA from 1 species